rnacentral:rRNA from 1 species
AACGAACGCUGGCGGCAUGCCUAACACAUGCAAGUCGAACGAGAACUCCGGGCCUUGUGGCGCACGGCUGCGUAACGCGUGGGAACCUGCACUUAGGUUCGGAAUACCUCCCCGACAGGGGUGCUAAUACCAGAUAAUGUCUUAGGACCUAAGAUUUAUUGCCUUUGGUUGGGCCCGCGUUGGAUUCGGUGGUUGGUAGGGUAAUAGCUUACCAAGGCGACGAUGCAUAGCUGGUCUGAGAGGAGGAUCAGCCACGCUGGGACUGAGACACGGCCCAGACUCCUACGCGAGGGAGGAGUGGGGAAUAUUGGACGAUGGGCGAAGGCCUGAUCCAGCAAUGCCGCGUGAGUGAUGAAGGCCUUAGGGAUGUAAAGCUCUUUUACCCGGGAUGAUAAUGACAGUACCGGGAGAAUAAGCACCGGCUAACUCCGUG